UUGACCCAUCUUCCCAGACCCCUAGCCGUUUAUCCCCCACUCAUAUGUUCCUUUCCCUGGCUCCUAACCUGUGUUUCCCCCUCUGUUUCCCUCAGGUUGUGACCCUUCUCUGCUCCCCACUUUCUUAAUACCCCCGUCUCUGCCUUCUAACUUUCUGCCGUCCUCCCGACCCCAGGGUGUCUCCUUCUGUGGGCACUCGCUUCCCUCACCCCUUCCUCCUCCUCUUACCCAUCACUUCCAGUUGUAGAAGAGUAUUUCUUUUUGUAUUUUUUUUUAUUAUUGCUUGGACCUGGAGUGGAUUAAUUUAUGGGGCAACAACCAGGCAAAGUUCUUGCGGACCAAAGAAGGCCGACACUGCCUGCGCUGCACUUUAUCAAAGGAGGAAAGCGAGAGGCAUCCAAACAUGGAGCUCAGCAUUUCAAUGUGUUUGUGGAGCACGGUGAUGGCAGCUUUGAAGAACAGCAGAGGAGUUAUCCCUGAUGUCCCAGCCAAAGUUAACCCUCGAUCAUCAUCACAAAAACAAUUGGUUUAUUAUCACAUUUGCAGUUUAUAAAGAAUGGAAGAAGGCUACUUAAUCCAUCAAAUACGCACUAGCCCUUUUGAAUAGCAGUUAAUUACACUCACUUCAUGCCUUUUAUGCUAUGUUCCUGCCAUUUUUUGUCCAAGCAUUUAUUCAAUCCCUAUUUGAAUGUUUCCAUUAGAUCUGCAUCAGUGUCAAGCAGUCUACUCCAAAUCCAACCAUUCCACGCAAAAUAAAACGUUUAUUCUUG